rnacentral:rRNA from 1 species
UUCCGUAGGUGAACCUGCGGAAGGAUCAUUGACACGUUAUCCAAUAACACCAAGCAUCAUUCUGAGUUCCGCACAUGCUUUUGUGUGUGUGGGGCACCGGUUGUUUCCGGCUGUGAGCCUGUUCUUGCAGUCGGUCUCAAUCACCGUUCACCCUCUUUACAAUUUUUUCUGUUUUUGUACAUUUGUGAAUUUAUUUUCUCACAACUUUUAGCGAUGGAUGCCUCGGCUCGAAUAACGAUGAAGGACGCAGCAAAGUGCGAUAAUCGCUGUGAAUGGCAGAAUUCCGUGAAUCAAUAGAACGCUGAACGCAUACUGCACCCUGGAGUUUUUCUCGAGGGUAUGUCUGUUUCAGGGUGGUUGCACUAUAUUGCAAUCAAACUUUGAUCAUUUUCGGAUGGUCACGUUUGAUCUGCGUUUUUGUGCGUCAACGAUGCAUAGCCGUCGACGCAUUAAACAAAGUAGUUGUCUACCAAUUAAGCUUUCGCUUAUUGUUGAUGCAAAUCUCCGAGCAGCGUGAGGCUUUGGAAGAUGACUACAGAUUUUCUCUACAGGUGAAAACCUGUUAACUCACACAUGAAAUCAGAUAAGGCUACCCGCUGAAUUUAAGCAUAUCA